rnacentral:rRNA from 1 species
UACAGAGGAGCCAAGCGUUGUCCGGAUUGACUGGGCGUAAAGCGCACGCAGGCGGUUGCGCGCGUGGGGUGUGAAAUCUGGCCGCUUAACGGCCAGGCGCCAUCCCAUACGGCGCGACUGGAGCGAUGCAGAGGUCGGUGGAAUUGCCGGUGUAGAGGUGAAAUUCGUAGAUAUCGGGAGGAACACCAGUGGCGAAGGCGGCGACCUGGGCCAAUAUUGACGCUGAGGUGCGAAAGCGUGGGGAGCAAACAGG